rnacentral:rRNA from 1 species
GUGGGGAAUAUUGGACAAUGGGCGAAAGCCUGAUCCAGCAAUGCCGCGUGAGUGAUGAAGGCCUUAGGGUUGUAAAGCUCUUUUACCAGGGAUGAUAAUGACAGUACCUGGAGAAUAAGCUCCGGCUAACUCCGUGCCAGCAGCCGCGGUAAUACGGAGGGAGCUAGCGUUGUUCGGAAUUACUGGGCGUAAAGCGCACGUAGGCUGUUACUCAAGUCAGAGGUGAAAGCCCGGGGCUCAACCCCGGAACUGCCUUUGAAACUAGGUAACUAGAAUCUUGGAGAGGUCAGUGGAAUUCCGAGUGUAGAGGUGAAAUUCGUAGAUAUUCGGAAGAACACCAGUGGCGAAGGCGACUGACUGGACAAGUAUUGACGCUGAGGUGCGAAAGCGUGGGGAGCAAACAGGAUUAGAUACCCGGGUAGUCC